AGUGAACGCUGGCGGUAGGCCUAACACAUGCAAGUCGAACGGCAGCACAGUAAGAGCUUGCUCUUACGGGUGGCGAGUGGCGGACGGGUGAGGAAUACAUCGGAAUCUACUUUUUCGUGGGGGAUAACGUAGGGAAACUUACGCUAAUACCGCAUACGACCUACGGGUGAAAGCAGGGGAUCUUCGGACCUUGCGCGAUUGAAUGAGCCGAUGCCGGAUUAGCUAGUUGGCGGGGUAAAGGCCCACCAUGGCGACGAUCCGUAGCUCGUCUGAGAGGAUGGUCGGCGGCACUGGAGCUGGGACACGGUCAUGGGGCCUGCGAGAGGGAGCAGUCGGGAAUGUUGGGCAGUAGGCGCGAGCCUGAUACAGCCAUACCGCGUCGGUGAAGGAGACCUUCGGGUUGUGAAGCCCUUUUGUUGGGAGAGAAAAGCAGCAGGUUAAUACCCAGCUGUUCUGACGGUACCCGAAGAAUAAGCACCGGCUAACUUCGUG
rnacentral:rRNA from 1 species